GCUCAGAUUUAUUCUCUUUUGUUUGGAGUAGGGAGAGAAGUAUCCCACAUUGACGGCUUUGCAGAAUGUACUACAGUUAAAUCUAUGUUAAAAUCAUGAGCAAGAAACUUAAGAAACAAAACUAAUAUAGGAAGUGGUCUUGAAUAAUUUUAUCAGUAAUCAGAAUAUAAAGGGGACAUCUACAAAUUGAACUCUUCACAGCACAAAAUUGAAGAGUUUGGUUUUAGUCAUGUUUGUCAUAAGAUUAGAAGGAAUGCAAACAAGAACUGAGACCAAUGAAGGCCUCUUCAGUGCAUGGAAUUGUGAUGCCACCCAUUGGAUGAGUGAAACCAAACUUUUCUUCACUGCAACUUAGCAAGUCUUUGAACCACUGGUGGUUCAAGUAUGAUAUUGGUACCACAAGCCUCUUUUUCUGCUCCUCUCCUACAUAAACAGCAAAGUGGCCCUUCGGGACAUUCGUUGUAGCCAUACUCGAUUGCUUAGACAUCACAAGAGAUUGUCGGAUGAUCGAUAUGAAACUAAUACCCAUGGUUUCUGUGGAUUGUUAUGCUUGAGAGUUAAAGAGAUAUUUGGAUGAGAAAAAGCUGUGACAAUAGAGGAUGUGAGGACUUGGGGUGAUGGAUUUGUAUAGCUAUGUUGCUGCAUAUAUAGGGAUGGAAUUAUGGAUGGAAUAGUUAAGAGGAACCUAGCUAACUGGAGGUCACAUGCUUCUGUCCUCUGACUAACUUUCAAAUAUUGAUUGGUCAAUUCCAUCUAUCAA
rnacentral:lncRNA from 1 species